rnacentral:rRNA from 1 species
GACGAACGCUGGCGGCGUGCUUAACACAUGCAAGUCGAACGGAAAGGCCCCUUUGGGGGUCCUCGAGUGGCGAACGGGUGAGUAACACGUGAGUAACCUGCCCUUGACUUCGGGAUAACUUCAGGAAACUGGGGCUAAUACCGGAUAGGAAUCCUUGCUGCAUGGUGGGGGUUGGAAAGCUUCGGCGGUUUUGGAUGGACUCGCGGCUUAUCAGCUUGUUGGUGGGGUAGUGGCUUACCAAGGCUUUGACGGGUAGCCGGCCUGAGAGGGCGACUGGCCACAUUGGGACUGAGAUACGGCCCAGACUCCUACGGGAGGCAGCAGUGGGGAAUAUUGCACAAUGGGCGGAAGCCUGAUGCAGCAACGCCGCGUGCGGGAUGACGGCCUUCGGGUUGUAAACCGCUUUCAGCAGGGGCGAAGCUUGUGGUGACGGUACCUGCAGAAGAAGCACCGGCUAACUACGUG